AGUGAACGCUGGCGGUAGGCCUAACACAUGCAGGUCGAACGGCAGCACAGUAAGAGCUUGCUCUUACGGGUGGCGAGUGGCGGACGGGUGAGGAAUACAUCGGAAUCUACUUUUUCGUGGGGGAUAACGUGGGGAAACUUCGGCUAAUACCGCAUACGACCUACGGGUGAAAGCAGGGGAUCUUCGCACCUUGCGCGUUUGAAUGAGCCGAUGUCGGAUUAGCUAGUUGGCGGGGUAAAGGCCCACCAAGGCGACGAUCCGUAGCUGGUCUGAGAGGAUGAUCAGCCACACUGGAACUGAGACACGGUCCAGACUCCUACGGGAGGCAGCAGUGGGGAAUAUUGGACAAUGGGCGCAAGCCUGAUCCAGCCAUACCGCGUGGGUGAAGAAGGCCUUCGGGUUGUAAAGCCCUUUUGUUGGGAAAGAAAAGCAGCAGGUUAAUACCCCGCUGUUCUGACGGUACCCAAAGAAUAAGCACCGGCUAACUUCGUG
rnacentral:rRNA from 1 species